GCUCGUAUGAUGGAAAGGAAGACAUGGCUGACUCAAAAUCAGCUGCCGAUAGGCGUAAGGGUUCAAAUCCCUUUAUGAGCA
rnacentral:tRNA from 1 species